rnacentral:rRNA from 1 species
CGAGCGUUGUCCGAAUUUACUGGGCGUAAAGAGCGCGUAGGCGGUUUGUUAAGUCUCAUGUGUAAUCUCCCGGCUCAACUGGGAGGGGUCAUGGGAUACUGGCAGACUUGAGGAUAGCAGAGGAAAGCGGAAUUCCCGGAGUAGUGGUGAAAUGCGUAGAUACCGGGAGGAACACCAGAGGCGAAGGCGGCUUUCUGGGCUAUUUCUGACGCUGAGGCGCGAAAGCGUGGGGAGCGAACCGGAUUAGAUACCCGGGUAGUCCACGCCCUAAACGAUGGAUACUAGAUGUUGGGGGUAUAGACCCCCCCAGUGUCGAAGCUAACGCGAUAUGUAUCCCGCCUGGGGAGUACGGCCGCAAGGCUAAAACUCAAAGGAAUUGACGGGGACCCGCACAAGCAGCGGAGCGUGUGGUUUAAUUCGAUGCAAAGCGAAGAACCUUACCCAGGCUUGACAUGUUUCUGAAAGCCCCCGAAACGGGGCCCUCCUUCGGGACAGAUUCACAGAUGUUGCAUGGCUGUCGUCAGCUCGUGUCGUGAGAUGUUGGGUUAAGUCCCGCAACGAGCGCAACCCCUGUCGUUAGUUAUUAUGUCUAGCGAGACUGCCCCCACUGGGGGAGGAAGGUGGGGACGAGGUCAAGUCGUCAUGGCUCUUACGCCUGGGGCUACACACACGCUACAAUGGUCGGAAACAAUGGGCUGCCACACCGCGAGGUGGAGCGAAUCCUCAAAGCCGAUCUCAGUUGGAAUUGCAGGCUGCAACUCGCCUGCAUGAACGUGGAGUUGCUAGUAACCGUAGGUCAGCACACUACGGUGAAUACGUUCUCGGGUCUUGUACACACCGCCCGUCAAGUCAUGGAAGUCGGUAACACUUGAAGUCGUUGGGCCAACCC